rnacentral:lncRNA from 1 species
AAUCAACAUCUUUUGUCAGUCACCUCAUUUCCACUUAUUACUCAAUGUAGCAGCAUGGAUCAAGCAGUCUCAUUAGCUGCGAGAAGCAGACGAUUCGAAUCGAGUUUUUAUCCUUGCAAGGUAAACCUAAACACACGACAUGUAGGGGCACUCCGUCCCCACACACAUCAACCGUCCCCAUCGAUUCCCCGUCAGCAGAUCAGGGCUCACCGUCUUGGCGUACAAUGCCUCACUGACCCCGACUGCCGUCGUGCAGUGACCGCACUUGUACCCACCAUAACCGGAAUGGGAGACCACGUCUCAGGUCGCGUGAGGGGCAAAGUCUACUGCCAGGUUCAAUCAGGUACUAGGCUUACCGAUUUACCAUAUUUCUCGGUAUGUGUUUAGUACGUUCAAACGCUUGACUCACGGUACCACACCUUAAUCCUUAUUCAAAUUUUUAUCCCGUGGACAACCAAUCCCCAUGGAUUGUUCUCCACAACCAGCAUCAUUAUGAGAAGAAAGUGAAUACAACCAAUUUCCUGACCUCGCGCGAGUGCUAGAAAAAUCACUCGACUUCUACCGAGAUCCUUAAUUAGUAAAGCAGCUACUCGACCAAGCAUACUAGUAUCCAUCUCAAAAGGAAUCCUGAGUUCAUGCAACUAGGGUUUCAGACAACUCCUACACUUAAGUGCACAGUACAAGCCUACAAACAUUAAGUGUAGUAAAAUAGCAUAUAUAAACGGUUAUGCAUAAAACCGGGGCUUGCCUUAAAUUUAACACUUAGACAGUGUUUGCUGGGGGAGGUACUCGCUUGGCGAGCAUCCACUGGUUAAGUCCAUCCUUGGGUCGUCCACCGACGGCAUCUUGUGGUUGGCACCACAUCACUUGCAUGAUCGUCAUCUCUCGGUCCUAAAUGAGAUGCAAGAUGCAUAUGUAUGAAUAUAAUGAAAUAGCACAAGAUACUUUAGGUACAUGUUAGCGAAUUAAACACUAAGUAGCGAGACAUCAUAAGCAACUACACACACUAGCGUUAGCUACUACAUAUCAUUGAGCACACAACAUUAACACCACUAAAAGACGAUAAACAUUUUGUAUAUUUACGCAACACACAUACGAUCCCAUAAGUACGAGCGUUUAUUUAAUUUGCUACGGCUUUUCAUUAGUUCUUCUAUUUAUCACACAAAAGCAUCACAAAUACAAGUUUAAUAGAGGACCGAUGCAUCAAUGUCGAUGGACUCCUCUAUCACAAUCAACUACAGCAAGCAAGCACAUUAAUCAUGGAACACAUGUUAACCUAAGUUUAGCCAUCACAAGUCUAUGUCCGUUAAGUGCUAACUAAGCAUUUUAGCCAAAAUGGUGAACUAACAAUCAAAUGAGCACUAGCAGAAUUUUUGGACAGCAAUACAGCAGUUGCUUGUUUUAAUCAUAACUCUUCAAUUGUUAGUCCAAAAAUAUCAAACUAGGACUUUCUGAAAAGCUUAAAAAGUGCUCUACAACUUUGGUAUUGUCAUCACAACCUGAUUAAACACUUAGCAAGGUCGAAUUGUGCAAACACAACAGCUCUGUCCAGAUUUGGACAGAUUCAGACUUGCAGCUUCAAAAAUUCACAACAAAAGAUUCAGACAUCCAAACAAAGUGAUCCUAGACUUUCUGGAAAGCUAAUUAAAUGUUAUACAAAUUAUUUAUAAACAUCCCUGGCUGGUUUAGCAUGUAUCAAGGGUAAAAUAUACUAUGAAGGAUGUGCUGUCCAAAACUGGACAGAUUCAGUCUUCACACUUCAAACACAUGUAACUUAAUCUUCAGACCACCAAAAAUAGUGAUCCAAGACUUUUUGGAAAGCUUGGGAAAGGUACUACAUAACUUUUAUAAUCACCAAGAAGUGAUUCCAGGUUUAUUCAAAUCAAACAUUACAGUUUUUUGAAAUCUGUUCUGACAGAGGACAGAACACAGCAACCAGUUUGAAAAAUUCAUAACUCUUAAACUAUCAGUCCUAUGGUUAUGAAAUUUUAACACAAGCAAGAUAAAAAAAUCCUCUACAACUUUCUUAUAAUCGACAAGGACUGAUUCUAAAAUUAACUUAAGCAAACAAUGCAGGUUCUGAAAUCUGUACAGAAAUUCGACAGAUUCAGGUGCUGGGCUUGUGAAAAGCACAACUCCUAAACGAUCAGGUUUAUGGCUGUCAAAUUUUAGUACAAGCAAGAUAAUCAUGUUAUCUACAACUUUUCUAUAGCACAUAUCUACAGAAAACACAAUUUAGUUCAUCCAACAUACAGCACGACAAAAACAGCGCGUGCAGCCCAAAACAGAAAUCAAUAAAUUUCAGCUCCUAUAAUUCAAGAAUUUGCCGCAUUCUAGAGACUUAAAUUAUUCUAACACUUUACCGUUUCUUAGAGUUAAAAUAAUCAACUGAGGACUAACAAGUAGACUCACUAAUUUUUGUCCAUGUCAUUUUGUAUUACUAGCUUAAUUGCACAACCAAAACUAUACAUGCAUGAAUUUUUCAGCUUGCAAGCACAAGAACACUUAACUCAAUCAUCAAGCACAAUCAGGGACAGUUACUACAAAUUCUCAUUUCCAAAUUGCAAUGAUUUGGUUAUCUAACACAACUAUCACAUGCUUAUGUUAUGUAAGUUGGUUACCAUGAAAGAGACACUUUAAUAAUGUAAAUUAGCAUGUGACGAUAAGUUAAUUCUAAACUCUUUACCUCUCACAAGACAUGAUCAUUUUAAUGUCAUCAAGAUACCACAACAUCAUACGAGGACAUAUGCAUACUAGUUUCCAAUUUUACAUCUACAACUUCUUUACUAGUUAUUUUCAACCACUUAAUCGGCAUUGAUCGAAUUAAACCUCUCACUCGACAAUUUGGGGCACCAUAAAUUUCAGAAUUCUACCUAGACACCUAGCGUCACAUAGAGAGUCUACUAAUUAACUUGCAACCACUUGAAGUACUGGAAACACCUACAUAUAACAAUUAUUUAACGCAAUUGAAUUCCUCUAUUUAACAAGAGUUGGCUAACACAACAUGAAAAAAUAGUAAUUCAUACACAAGUUCAUAUUUUUCUCAAUCACAACACCAUGAGACCAACAAAACUAGUUUCACCAUUUUAGACAUCUUAACUUAAAAUAUAGCUAAAAGUAAUUCGAUUAGUUUUCUUAACUACUUUUCUAUAUUAGGUCACUUAGCUCCUAAUUAAUCAACACACCAUAUUUCCUUUGACGCAAUAGGUAGAGCACGAUUACUUGUUUCUAACAAUCUUUGGGUAUCAACAAUUAAUUACCUAUGGUAUUUAUCCGACUCGAAAACAUAGAGAAGGCGACGAUUACUACGACAUGUCGUCACCUCAUCUUAAUCGCGUAAUCAAUUUUAGCUUUACUGAUCGAGUCUGCCGACUAACCGUUUAAACUAGUAAAAGCUAUCCUUCACAUCAAACAACACAUCGCACAUCUUCCUAUCGAAACGUAAAAACAUCCGAGUUCUUUUCUACCUCUUUUUCUUUCGCCACAAACUUCAAUCCAUACCAAUACAAUUUUUAAACACGCACCACAUCGACCAAUUUAUACGAAUCGACAACCACCAAUCUCUAACUCGAAAUCAUGAGCACGACCCUAUUACGACCUACCGCCAAAACAUUUCAACCACAUCUAUAUAAUUUAUCAAUCAAGUCAAUCGAGAGCGACAUGCAUCGGCUCACCAUAAACAAACUCAAUCGGUGUUUGUAAGAACGUUGGCGAUUCGAUUUGUGCAUAGCUCCGCACAUCGACGAGCGUUGAACGACUUGCCUUCUUCUCCACGCAAAACACGGGGUUUCUCUCCUCCACAAAAACAAAACAAAGCAGCACACAUACAUAAUUAAUCAUAGAAAAAUAAUGUCAAUACGGAAUCGAACAAGGAGUGUCGCGGUCUCACCAGGGUGAACGACGACGACGGCGGGGCUGCGCAAAAACAGCAACCCACCGACGGGCAUCACGGCGUGCUGCUCACUGCGCAAUAAAACAGCAAGCCGGCAGCGCGCGGAGCCGUCGGGGCUGCUGCACAUUUCGUCGAGCAGCCAAAGGGCAUCAAGGAGAACAGCAAGGGGCGCUCAGCUAGGGGAGCAGAGAUCCGGCCAUGCCGUGCUCCCGCCAGCAGCCCUGCGCGCGGUAGAGAGUGCUGCAGCCAAGGGGAGAGCAGGGUGCUGCACGGAUGGAGGAAAGGGGUCGGUCUGCCCUUCUUGAGGAGGAAGAAAGGCGCCGCUGGGCUUCUCUGGCUGGUGUGCUGCUGGAAACAUGCGUCAGGGAAGGGGAGGAAGGGCUGCUACUCUUGGGUGCCGAGCUGAAGAAAGGGAAAGUGCAGGGGGCUCGACCAUGGGGAGGUGCUGCGAGGGGGAGGGACGUUCAGUCCAUGCAUGGGAGAUGUAGGGACGCGCUGGAGAGGGGAUGGAGCAGAGGGGAAAAGGGAGGUCGGCCAUGGGGAGGGGAGCGAGGAGGGAGACGCAGGGAGCUCGGCGGCCACCAUGGCUAGGCUAUGGAGCUCGCAGGGGCGAACGCCAAUGGUGACCUGUGCGCGACGGGGAGGAAGCCAGCAGAGAACUCUGCGGUGAGCGGCAGCUAGGGGAAAUGGAGAUCCGCGUGGGGGGUUGCUGGCAAGCUCGCGGCAGGGAGGUGAGCUCGGCCAUGGGAAUGGCGCUCACGCCAUGGCUGGAGAUGCAGCUGUCGUGGGAAAAACCAGAGAGGAGGACUGCGUAGGGGAGAAUUAGGUUGCUGGUUGCGGCUGGGAAAAGAAUAGGGGUGGGAGUGCAAAACAGCCAAGGGCAAGGGAGAGGGAUCCGUAUUUAUAGAGAAACCCUAGGGUUAGGGUUUCAAAUGGGCCUAAUUGGGUUGGGUUAGGCUGGCCCAAACACGAAAUCGGGUUGCGUUAAAUUAUUUCUGGAGUAAAAAUGCUUCUGCGGAAUCCGUUUUUACGAAGGACAGAGUGAAUUAUAGUUCCGACGAAUGGACGAUUGAGCGAUUAAUUCGGCCGAGAGUCUAAUUUGAUUUCGCUCGGCAACAAUUUCCUACACAUGAUUCGAAAAUAAAUUGUCUCGGGAUACGACUAGCUUUCGGAUUUUUGAUUGAAAGAGACAAAUCGCGACAUUUAAAAUCAUCGCUGAUGUUGAUUUUUAAAUCGGGAUCGAACACAGAGGUAUGAAGUCGAGUCGGAUAAGAACUAAUUAGAGGGCGACAUACUGAGUAUCCCGUUGGAGAAUACGGACCCGGAUAAAACAGUCGAACAUGGAUCGAAGUUUCGAGGAAUCAGAUUCGGGCUCAGAUCAGAUUACAGUCGUCGAGAGUUUGAUUUUAAAGAGCUUCAGAUGAGAUUUAUAAUUCGAGAAUGAUCUUCGAGUCUGCAUUAGUUCCGAGAAUUAAAAGUUUUAACACGCUCCAAAUUCGGCGUUUCUGUGAGACUGAAGAACUCUGAAUUCGGUGAAACGUGAGUGAAUAAUCUGGAUAAUCAGAGAUAGACACGAUUGAGAAAUAGAAAUUUUUACUGAGCAUCCGAGAUUAGUAUAAAUCUCCCGACAUAACACGAAACUGACACCUGGGGUGUCACAGCCUUCCCCCCUUAAAAAGAAUCUCGUCCCGAGAUUCGAAUGAGGAUCUUCAAGGGUGGAGAAGCAUGUAACUCCCAGGCUGAUGAUAGAUGCCAAUUCAUUGGAUGGGAUCUGACAAGAUACUGAAGAUAGAUUUGGGUAGAAUAUCGCGACAUAUUGAGACAAAAUGCAGCGAUCACUUUGAGAGAAUAUCCACAAAAGACAGCACAUCGGUAUAGUCUCGCAAUGGAUCACAACUAUUAACCACGAUACCAGCGCGUGUCGAGCAGCUCAACCAUGUGUGCACCAUAGUAGGCUCUCGGUUUCGUCGCGGCACCAUCGGUCGUUUAGUCGUAAUGUCAUUACCAAACACAACCAAUGAGGAAUCCACAUAGCAUAGAUAGAUGGAGCCCAUGAGAGUAUGGCCCAGAAAAUAAGAAUUUGACCGGAGCUGAAGCAGAGAUUGCUGGCAAAAAGAGCAUCACGUGAGAAUUUUCUUCAACUCGGAGAACUAUUUUAUGAUCAACACGUAGAUUAUCAGGCCAGAGAUUAGUACAAGAUGGGAUAUGAGAAGGAAGCACUCAAGAGAUCAUGUUGAUGAACUUGUAGAGACAUGAGAGAACCACAAGAUGACAACAACAUCCCUUGAACCAAAUGGAUACACUGUUUAGAGAUAAAAUUGAUAAAACAGUGUCAUGAUCCUUGGAGAAGGGGUAUGAGAAUGACCAGAAUUGAGAGAUUUUGGUAUAUCAACAUUUGAUACUUGAGAACGAGUUAGAGCAGAUAUCCAGAUAAUAGGGUAGGAUCAAUAGGGGAUCCGGAGAUUCGGAUGAUAAAGCCACAACAUGAUUCACAAGAAAAAGAUUACCAGAUCCACGCAAAAGGAGAGGUAGGCAAACAGGAUCAGCUAGGAUGAUCAACAGAAAUGUUAUGAAGUUUUAGGGGCAAGGACUUAUGGAAAGAAACAUGGCCUUGAUAGGUUUUGCGCAACUAGACACAAAACAAUUUUCCUUGAUACAACAAGUGCACAAGGAGACUUGGGUCGGUCUAGCAGUCAAGCUAUGGGUGUCUAUAAGUUGUGCAGGUGCAAUUUCAAGUGUAAAACACACAAGGCUAGAAACACAAAAACAAGCACGUGAUUUGAUUUUUUUUAAGGGCUUUACUCGGGAACAACUAGAUUAUUUGGGGAAGGGGGUCUUUUCAUGAGCAGGACAGACAACUUUUUUUUAUUGGUUAGAGGAAAAAUGGACUGAACAACUAUCGUGCCUUCUAGAAAGCAAGGCAAGAGAAACACAUAUCACGACCUAGUCAAGACUUACCAAUCCGACACAAGGUAAAGCAUUUCUUAUAGUUCCUAACAUAGCAGUACAUCACAUUAUUCACAAGUUAUUAUUGGAAUAAAGGUGAGAGAAGCAUGUUGGUGCACAAAAGACAAUUAUAAUGCGACAAUCAUGAUGCAUGCUCAUUCUAGUCGUCUUCUCAGACCUAACUAAUCUUCGGGUGCUUGCUAUAGCAUCCUUAUUAAUAGUAGUAGUAGCCUUUAUGGCCUAUAUAAAUAGCCACCUAGCUACCCAUCUAUUUCCUAAGGCUUCACGUCCUAGGUCUAUCCUUAUCGUCCUGACGAUCUAUCAACAUUAGUUUCUAGCAAGUUUUACUUUUAGAAAAGGUUGGUAAUCAUGACUUAUUGACUUCUCUGUGAUGGUAUUCGCUCCGAUACCAGCUGUGGCGGAACCGCCCGAAUUAUUCCAGCUUAAGUGCCCAAGUUGCACCCAUAAGGGCAGCAACACACUUAAACAGGAAUAACCCGUCAGUCCCUCGGAUCUAGUCCGAUAAAGCCACUUAUCCAGGAUCGAAUACCACUAGCUCACUCGAAGGUGAGGCACAGAGAAAUACAAUAAAACAUAAUACCACAAAUUUAAUAAGUAUCAUUAGUGAUUACAUUAUCGGAGUUUCAGAAAUAAUAACCAUAAAUUUUAAUGCAGCGGAAAUAACUAACGGAGAAAACCGAGUAACAUGGCGAAGCCUAGCCACGCUACUCCUCCCGGUCCUCUCCUGCGGAAGCAAUAACCCACUCGACCGUCUAUCCCGAUGGCAGGGAUGGGGACCAAGUCACACCAUCAACCAAAUCAACCUAAGGAGUACCUGCAAAAAUUAUGCCACCAGCAAGGCUGAGUAUACUAAUACUCAGCUAGACUUACCCGGUGUGAGGAGUCUACUCCUCUACCUCUAGACAUGCAGCUGUUUGGCUGAGGGGUUUGGUUUGCCAAAAGCACUAGCUGAGUCUAAAAUCAAAUUUUAGCUUUUCAAGUUUUAGUAUGAUCCUUUUAAACUAGAUAAGUACCUAGCUACUCAUACAUGAUAUCAAACAUUUAUAGCAAUCAACAUCUUUUGCCAGUCACCUCAUUUCCACUUAUUACUCAAUGUAGCAGCAUGGAUCAAGCAGUCUCAUUAGCUGCGAGAAGCAGACGAUUCGAAUCGAGUUUUUAUCCUUGCAAGGUAAACCUAAACACACGACAUGUAGGGGCACUCCGUCCCCACACACAUCAACCGUCCCCAUCGAUUCCCCGUCAGCAGAUCAGGGCUCACCGUCUUGGCGUACAAUGCCUCACUGACCCCGAC